rnacentral:rRNA from 1 species
GGGUUGUGAGGUUAAGCGACUAAGCGUACACGGUGGAUGCCCUGGCAGUCAGAGGCGAUGAAGGACGUGCUAAUCUGCGAAAAGCGUCGGUAAGGUGAUAUGAACCGUUAUAACCGGCGAUGUCCGAAUGGGGAAACCCAGUGCAAUUCGUUGCACUAUCGUUAACUGAAUACAUAGGUUAACGAGGCGAACCGGGGGAACUGAAACAUCUAAGUACCCCGAGGAAAAGAAAUCAACCGAGAUUCCCCCAGUAGCGGCGAGCGAACGGGGAGCAGCCCAGAGUCUGAAUCAGCUUGUGUGUUAGUGGAACGGUCUGGAAAGUCCGACGGUACAGGGUGAUAGUCCCGUACACCAAAAUGCACAGGCUGUGAACUCGAAGAGUAGGGCGGGACACGUGGUAUCCUGUCUGAAUAUGGGGGGACCAUCCUCCAAGGCUAAAUACUCCUGACUGACCGAUAGUGAACCAGUACCGUGAGGGAAAGGCGAAAAGAACCCCGGCGAGGGGAGUGAAAAAGAACCUGAAACCGUGUACGUACAAGCAGUGGGAGCACCUUCGGGUGUGACUGCGUACCUUUUGUAUAAUGAGUCAGCGACUUAUAUUCUGUAGCAAGGUUAACCGUAUAGGGGAGCCGCAGGGAAACCGAGUCUUAACUGGGCGUUAAGUUGCAGGGUAUAGACCCGAAACCCGGUGAUCUAGCCAUGGGCAGGUUGAAGGUUGGGUAACACUAACUGGAGGACCGAACCGACUAAUGUUGAAAAAUUAGCGGAUGACUUGUGGCUGGGGGUGAAAGGCCAAUCAAACCGGGAGAUAGCUGGUUCUCCCCGAAAGCUAUUUAGGUAGCGCCUCGUGAACUCAUCUUCGGGGGUAGAGCACUGUUUCGGCUAGGGGGUCAUCCCGACUUACCAACCCGAUGCAAACUACGAAUACCGAAGAAUGUUAUCACGGGAGACACACGGCGGGUGCUAACGUCCGUCGUGAAGAGGGAAACAACCCAGACCGCCAGCUAAGGUCCCAAAGUCAUGGUUAAGUGGGAAACGAUGUGGGAAGGCACAGACAGCCAGGAUGUUGGCUUAGAAGCAGCCAUCAUUUAAAGAAAGCGUAAUAGCUCACUGGUCGAGUCGGCCUGCGCGGAAGAUGUAACGGGGCUAAACCAUGCACCGAAGCUGCGGCAGCGACACUAUGUGUUGUUGGGUAGGGGAGCGUUCUGUAAGCCUGCGAAGGUGUGCUGUGAGGCAUGCUGGAGGUAUCAGAAGUGCGAAUGCUGACAUAAGUAACGAUAAAGCGGGUGAAAAGCCCGCUCGCCGGAAGACCAAGGGUUCCUGUCCAACGUUAAUCGGGGCAGGGUGAGUCGACCCCUAAGGCGAGGCCGAAAGGCGUAGUCGAUGGGAAACAGGUUAAUAUUCCUGUACUUGGUGUUACUGCGAAGGGGGGACGGAGAAGGCUAUGUUAGCCGGGCGACGGUUGUCCCGGUUUAAGCAUGUAGGCUGGUUAUCCAGGCAAAUCCGGAUAAUCAAGGCUGAGGUGUGAUGACGAGGCACUACGGUGCUGAAGUAACAAAUGCCCUGCUUCCAGGAAAAGCCUCUAAGCAUCAGGUAACAUCAAAUCGUACCCCAAACCGACACAGGUGGUCAGGUAGAGAAUACCAAGGCGCUUGAGAGAACUCGGGUGAAGGAACUAGGCAAAAUGGUGCCGUAACUUCGGGAGAAGGCACGCUGGUGUGUAGGUGAAGUCCCUGCGGAUGGAGCUGAGACCAGUCGAAGAUACCAGCUGGCUGCAACUGUUUAUUAAAAACACAGCACUGUGCAAACACGAAAGUGGACGUAUACGGUGUGACGCCUGCCCGGUGCCGGAAGGUUAAUUGAUGGGGUUAUCCGUAAGGAGAAGCUCUUGAUCGAAGCCCCGGUAAACGGCGGCCGUAACUAUAACGGUCCUAAGGUAGCGAAAUUCCUUGUCGGGUAAGUUCCGACCUGCACGAAUGGCGUAAUGAUGGCCAGGCUGUCUCCACCCGAGACUCAGUGAAAUUGAACUCGCUGUGAAGAUGCAGUGUACCCGCGGCAAGACGGAAAGACCCCGUGAACCUUUACUAUAGCUUGACACUGAACAUUGAGCCUUGAUGUGUAGGAUAGGUGGGAGGCUUUGAAGCGUGGACGCCAGUCUGCGUGGAGCCAACCUUGAAAUACCACCCUUUAAUGUUUGAUGUUCUAACGUUGGCCCCUGACCGGGGUUGCGGACAGUGUCUGGUGGGUAGUUUGACUGGGGCGGUCUCCUCCCAAAGCGUAACGGAGGAGCACGAAGGUUAGCUAAUCCUGGUCGGACAUCAGGAGGUUAGUGCAAUGGCAUAAGCUAGCUUGACUGCGAGCGUGACGGCGCGAGCAGGUGCGAAAGCAGGUCAUAGUGAUCCGGUGGUUCUGAAUGGAAGGGCCAUCGCUCAACGGAUAAAAGGUACUCCGGGGAUAACAGGCUGAUACCGCCCAAGAGUUCAUAUCGACGGCGGUGUUUGGCACCUCGAUGUCGGCUCAUCACAUCCUGGGGCUGAAGUAGGUCCCAAGGGUAUGGCUGUUCGCCAUUUAAAGUGGUACGCGAGCUGGGUUUAGAACGUCGUGAGACAGUUCGGUCCCUAUCUGCCGUGGGCGCUGGAGAAUUGAGGGGGGCUGCUCCUAGUACGAGAGGACCGGAGUGGACGCAUCACUGGUGUUCGGGUUGUCAUGCCAAUGGCACUGCCCGGUAGCUAAAUGCGGAAGAGAUAAGUGCUGAAAGCAUCUAAGCACGAAACUUGCCCCGAGAUGAGUUCUCCCUGAGACUAUAAGUCUCCUGAAGGAACGUUAAAGACGAUGACGUUGAUAGGCCGGGUGUGUAAGCGCAGCGAUGCGUUGAGCUAACCGGUACUAAUGAACCGUGAGGCUUAACCUUACAACGCCGAAG